AGAGUUUGAUCAUGGCUCAGGACGAACGCUGGCGGCGUGCUUAACACAUGCAAGUCGAACGGAAAGGCCCUUCGGGGUGCUCGAGUGGCGAACGGGUGAGUAACACGUGGGUGAUCUGCCCUGCACUUUGGGAUAAGCCUGGGAAACUGGGUCUAAUACCGGAUAGGACUCCGAGAUGCAUGUCUUGGGGUGGAAAGCUUUUGCGGUGUGGGAUGGGCCCGCGGCCUAUCAGCUUGUUGGUGGGGUGAUGGCCUACCAAGGCGACGACGGGUAGCCGGCCUGAGAGGGUGUCCGGCCACACUGGGACUGAGAUACGGCCCAGACUCCUACGGGAGGCAGCAGUGGGGAAUAUUGCACAAUGGGCGCAAGCCUGAUGCAGCGACGCCGCGUGAGGGACGACGGCCUUCGGGUUGUAAACCUCUUUCAGUACCGACGAAGCGUAAGUGACGGUAGGUACAGAAGAAGCACCGGCCAACUACGUGCCAGCAGCCGCGGUAAUACGUAGGGUGCGAGCGUUGUCCGGAAUUACUGGGCGUAAAGAGCUCGUAGGUGGUUUGUCGCGUUGUUCGUGAAAACUCACAGCUUAACUGUGGGCGUGCGGGCGAUACGGGCAGACUGGAGUACUGCAGGGGAGACUGGAAUUCCUGGUGUAGCGGUGGAAUGCGCAGAUAUCAGGAGGAACACCGGUGGCGAAGGCGGGUCUCUGGGCAGUAACUGACGCUGAGGAGCGAAAGCGUGGGGAGCGAACAGGAUUAGAUACCCUAGUAGUCC
rnacentral:rRNA from 1 species